rnacentral:misc_RNA from 1 species
CUUUCUCGCCAUUCUGGUGGCGUCAUCGCCAAACACAAAAAAGGCCGCCUUGCGGCGGCCUUUUUUCGUCAGCCUA